rnacentral:rRNA from 1 species
CAGUAGCCGCGGGAAUACGUAGGGUGCGAGCGUUAAUCGGAAUUACUGGGCGUAAAGCGGGCGCAGACGGUUACUUAAGCAGGAUGUGAAAUCCCCGGGCUCAACCUGGGAACUGCGUUCUGAACUGGGUGACUAGAGUGUGUCAGAGGGAGGUAGAAUUCCACGUGUAGCAGUGAAAUGCGUAGAGAUGUGGAGGAAUACCGAUGGCGAAGUCAGCCUCCUGGGAUAACACUGACGUUCAUGCCCGAAAGCGUGGGUAGCAAACAGGAUUAGAUACCCCAGUAGUCCCUGUCUCUUAUAC